AUUGAACGCUGGCGGAAUGCUUUACACAUGCAAGUCGAGCGGCAGCGCGGGGCAACCUGGCGGCGAGCGGCGAACGGGUGAGUAAUACAUCGGAACGUGCCCAGACGUGGGGGAUAACUACUCGAAAGAGUGGCUAAUACCGCAUACGAUCUACGGAUGAAAGCGGGGGAUCGCAAGACCUCGCGCGUCUGGAGCGGCUGAUGGCAGAUUAGGUAGUUGGUGGGAUAAAAGCCUACCAAGCCAACGAUCUGUAGCUGGUCUGAGAGGAUGAUCAGCCACACUGGGACUGAGACACGGCCCAGACUCCUACGGGAGGCAGCAGUGGGGAAUUUUGGACAAUGGGCGAAAGCCUGAUCCAGCCAUUCCGCGUGCAGGAUGAAGGCCCUCGGGUUGUAAACUGCUUUGUACAGAACGAAAAAGCUCUGGCUAAUACCUGGAGUCCAUGACGGUACUGUAAGAAUAAGCACCGGCUAACUACGUGCCAGCAGCC
rnacentral:rRNA from 1 species